AUAUUGAUCUGUUGGGGUAAUUUUAAGUGUCAAGAUUAUCAGUUACACUUACAGUUAAGUAUUUGUAUAAAGUUUUUUAAUAAAACAAUUGAUAUACUAUUUUCUUAACAUUUUUCAAUGUCCGGAUUCACUUGCGAAGUUUGCUUAGUACUGAAAAGAGAAUUAGUUCCUCCAGAAAAAUUGAAAGGAAAUUACAAUUGAUAUCAUCACGUAAAACCCAACUUAUAUUGUUUGACUAAAUUUUUUAUGACAGUAGUUGUUAUUAAUCUUGAAUGCAGCAGUUUAUAAUUAAUAUUUUUGAAAUUCUAUAUUUGGAACGUUCAUACAUGAACAUUUACAAUAUUUACAUAAUGUGCUGUAAUUAAGUACGUCUAAUAUAAAUACUCCUGGAUACAAGAAGUGUUACGGGAAAUAUUAUAACGUGCAUUGUUAUAAUAAAGAGUCCAUCUUUUCGAAGUGCGACGAAUUAUUAUCUUCUUAAUCUUGCAAUUUCUAAUUUGAUACUACUAAUCAAUGGUUUCAUUACUGAUUUACAAGUUAUAUGGAUAAAGUAUAAAUUCAUAGGAGGUUUUUUCUUUUGUAAAGUUUUUCCAUGCUUAUCCGAAAGCCUGGAAAGUAAUACUAUUGACAUUGUUUGCAAUUUCAUUUGAACGUUAUCUCACAAUUUGCCAUUCUGUCCGUAUUAAAAAAGUGAAAACAUUAAAAAGAAUUAUUAUUUCUAUAAUCAUUUUAUGGAUAAUUGGAUUCAUAUUUUCAGUAAAUGAAUUUUUUAAAAAUUCUGUAAAAUACGUCUUU